rnacentral:lncRNA from 1 species
UUAACUCUAAUUAAUUAAUCUCAAUAUUAAUCUAUUCUUAAAUAACAGCAAUAUAACAUAAUAUUAAUAUGUAAAAAAAAACAAAAAAAAACACAAAUUUUAAUUUAUCCAUAUUUAACUAAUAACGUUAUUAUAUUAUAUUCUACUCCUGCUAUUUAAAUAAAUAAUCUCCCUAAUUAUUAUUUUUUACUAAUGUGUUUUAAUAAGACAAAAUGUCCUAGUUAUCAAUGAU